rnacentral:sRNA from 1 species
UCAGUGAGGCCUUCUGCUUCGGGCGGAGGA